AACAAAAAGUGGUACAUCAGCACAAUCAAAAUGUGCACAUCACAGUGUCAAUGCAAGUCAAUCAUUCAAAAGAGAAUUUGACACAAGUGAUCUACCAUGGAACCAGAUGGAAACCAAUCAAUCUGAAAAUAGGAAGGAGAGGUUUUAUAGGGAGCAAAAUGAAAAACUGAGGAGAUAUUCAAGAUUGCAGGACUUGAGAACUUUAAAACCAGGACGCUUGUAUUCGACAUGCCCCCGCCAUUUCAUGUACAUGCCCUUUGAUAUUGCAAAUGAAGUCAAAUUGGAGCAUCUU